GAGAGAGAGAAAUAAAUGAAAACUAUUACAAAAGGUAUGCUAGAUUGUUCAUUGGCUCAUUUCAGCUUACUGUCAUGGUAUUUAAUGAACAUGCAUUAUUUUACUGUGUGCUGGGAAUUAAAAAAAAAAUGUUUAUCUAUAGUUUAGGCCAAUUACUAUAAACUGUAUUUAUUUAUUCAUUAGUAAAAAAAAAAAAAAAGUGGGCUAUUGAGACAAAUUGACAACCCUGUACCACUGCUGGGGACUAUUAUUACAAGAAUACAAGUACAGUGACAUUGAAAAGGCUAAAAAAGUGAGUCAGCUUGCAGAAGACACUUUUAACUGCAUUUACUGGAGACCACAGGACAAUAUAUUGGUGUAAUGACAGCUGUGUUUAUUUACUUGUUAAAUUAAAGAUAAUCAUUUAUAAGCUUAUUAAGAUAAAACUAGAAGAUGUUUCCUUCAGCUAGAUGCAUUCUUUAUUUCAACGCUGCAUAUUUACAGUGAAAUCCUAUAUUUUAAAUUUGUGAUUACUCUAGAGCAAGGGUGCCCAAUCCUGUUCCUGGAUGAAGUCAAAAUGGAUGGGGGAUGGUGGGUCUUUUCUGCUCUCUGGAACAAAUUUCCACUCCAAAGUGUCGUUGAUUCCUUCCCCGCCUUGGGCGUGCUCCUCUGUCUUUCCCUUUAAGGAGGGCACCAGUGGCAUGACGGGGAAGUGAAUGAAUCUGUGCCUCAUUUUGGCUUGCUCCAUGUGGGGUGUGGACCUGUCAGCGGUUCACAAGGUGGCAAACUCGGAGAAGAAGAGGCAUUUGAUCUCCCUGGCCUCUGGCCGUGUGGACACAGAAGACACCAUGUCCACUGUUGGAGGAUGCCGGCCCAGCUAGACAGGCACCUGAAGCAGCAUGCUGAGCUUUCUGCCUUAGCAGGAGGCCAUAGGGAAAGCAAAGUGCCGGAAGGUGGCCUAAGAACUGCGGUGGCUGCAGUCCACUCAGUAGUCUCUAGACUAGCGUCAGAAGAAGACCAGAAACCAGACGACCCUGAGGCCGGGUGUCAGCUCACUACAGAGCACAUCCAGGCCAAGCUGUCAGAUGAGGUCUACCAUGGGUGAAGUCACACACUGAUACCAGGAGUUGCAGAGGUCAUAGGUCCUACACCUGCUGAGGCUCAGGAAGUCUACAACCAGCAUCCCUAUCCAGACCAUGUUCCAGCCCUCAAGCAGCUUUUGGAAGAGUUUGAGGGUUUCCAACUGGGCAGUGACCACACAGCCCAUUUGUGAAACAAUGUGACGUCCAAGCUGACGAGGAUCAAGGCGUUCCUUGGAUACAUGGCGAAAGGGUCUCGAUCCAGAGAGAAAGCACUGCCCUGGUGCUGACAGUAUGGAGGUCAAAGCUCUGAUUCACAGUAUAUGCUGGAAUGUCGUUGUGCAUGAGGUAACAAAGACAGGUUGAUCUCGAUCUUCUAGGUGAGUGUUUAGUCUGUCAGUCAGUGUUCCCAUCAUCCCUUCCAUCUUAGAUGGGGAAUGGUGGGUACACUGACCCUUUUUUUUGUUCCGUUUCUGCUCUGGGGCACCAACAGCUCUUAGUUAAACCAUUCAAAUCAGUGUAUCCACUAUCCCCUUGGUCUUGGAUGGAGGGUACACUGACUUUUUUUUGUUCGUUUCUGCUCUGGGGCACCAACAGUUCCCAGUUAAACCAUUCAAGUCAGUGCCCACUAUCCCCUUUGUCUUGGAUGGAGGAUGCUGGCUACACUGACUUUUGUUAGUUUCUGUUCUGGGGCACCAACAGCUCUCAGUUAAACCAUUCAUAGUGUUUGAGGCUUGUUGGAAAAGUCUAAUCUGUCUAAUUGAUGAGGAUACUGCCUUUGCCAGAUAACCUCAAGUCCUACCCAGACAUGGUUUAAUGGACCGCUGUGGCGUGUUCCAGCAUCUAACCAUGCAGAAGGUUGAAAAGGCCUCCAGAAGCCUGGAUGGGUCUGCCUAUGUCAUCAACGAGAGUGUGACUCUUAGGCUCUGCAGGUGGGGGACACCAAUAGUAUGCACGCACUCACCUUCUCUUUCUCUCUGUUUGUUCCAUGGCCAGACCACCACGCAUAAGACAAACAGAGCCUUUGGUGCUACCCAGUUGUCUCUAGACAAGGAAUAUUACAGCUGGCUCCAGAGGUUCUUGGACCUACAGACUGGUCUCACUGACCAAUUCCCUGCAGCCCUGAAUAAAUAUUUUUAUCUGCGUGGACCAGCAUGGGGCUUCCUGGGAGACCCACUUUCACUGAUCUCCGGCAAAGAAUGCACACUCUUCAGAGGAUCGCCGGAAGGUGGCCCAUGUCAUGACACUUCAACCUCAGAUAAAUUCUACGCACUUCACCUGGGCCCUCUGUGAGCACUGCAGACUCUUUGAAAGAGCCUUGGUGGAGGAGGAGGUGGGCAAAGAAAGCCAGCCAAGGAAGGGGCACAAGAGGGCAGACAGUCGCCGGUCACCCCUGGAGGACACUGCCAUGGCAGUCUGCAAAAAUGAAAAGCCAGGGGGCACAGCCGCUCAAACCAACGAAUGACUUUGAAUCUCCCUGAAGAAAUAAAUACAAUUUUCUAAAACAAUAAAGCUCAUAAGGUGUUCAGAUAUUUAUUGCUACAGUGUCUUUAUUGAGGUAGGCUGGUCAUCAUUCCUGUCUGUGUGUUAAAGUGGCUUGCGGGAUGCCCAUGUACAGGUUCAGCCUUGGUUAAAAGCCUGUCAGGAAAAAUGAUCCCUGUCUCCUGUGUUAAAAGUGGUAUGUGAGACACCCGUGUCCAGACUUAGUUAAAAGCCUAUCGGGACAAAUGAGCCCUGUUGCAGCACAAGUAGGUGCUAGCCUGGAUGAGCCUGUGCCUGGUUUGAAUGGCCAUUUGGCCUGUGGUCAAACUCAUGGUUUUAGCAAGCAUCUCCUGGGAUGGCUGCCCAGGAGUCAGGCUUGGCUCCUUGGAGAUCUACCUUGAUUAAACACACCUGUCUUUAAUUACUAAUUGCUCCUUCAGUUUAGUUGAUUUUGAUCAGGGUUGGAGCUGAACUCUCAAGGAGGGUAGAUCUCUAGGAACAGGAUUGGGCAACCUGCUCUAGAUUAAUCAGUCCAUGGUUGCAAUUAGCACAUUAAUUUUGUUCAAUCGAUUGACAGCCCUAAUAUAUAUAUAAACAUUGCCUUUCGCAAUAUCCAUAAUUUUCAAUGAACAUUUUUACUGAGCUUGCGAGAACAACCCAUAAGGUACACAUGUUAUGCUGCCUUAGACUUUGGAUAGCUGAAUAUUUAGUGUAUAA